rnacentral:misc_RNA from 1 species
GGGGGUUGGUGUUGGGAAUAAGAAGAAGACAUGUCAAAAUAUUAUUCUCAAGUAGCAUAAUAAACAUCCAAAAUAUUUUUGCACUUCUUCACUCACACAAGUGUUACACACAUGCAAACCUAAUGUUUGCAUGUGCGUAAAUUUUAGAAAAAACCUCCUAAUUGACUGGUUAAUGUUGCAUUGAAUUUUAUGGUUUUGUAAUCUUAGCUACACCUGUUUUGUCCUCAAAAUUGCAAGUAUAUAGCAACCAAAUGCAAGUCUUGAUAUCUGAUUAUCAUCAUUUCAUGCCUUUUCUUGUGUCUUAUAUGAUUCUCUAAUUUUAUCAGUGUAGACAAAUAAAGCUGAAAGGGACAAUAGAUUUAGCCUGCCCUCUUUUAAAAUUAGAAUAAUUUUGUGGAGAUUGUCCUCAAAAUUGCAAGUAUCUAGCAACCAAAUGCAAGUCUUGAUAUCUGAUUAUCAUCAUUUCAUGCCUUUUCUUGUGUCUUAUAUGAUUCUCUAAUUUUAUCAGUGUAGACAAAUAAAGCUGAAAGGGACAAUAGAUUUAG